rnacentral:lncRNA from 1 species
AUCAUGUCACCUGCAAAUAGUGAUAAUUUAAGUUCUUCUUUUCCUAUUUUUAUGCCUUUAAUUUCUUUCGUCUGUCUAAUUGCUCUGGCCAGUGUUUCGAGAACUAUGUUGAACAGAAGUCAGCCUGGCUCUUUCUUCUCUUUGCUUGGCUCGCCCUUGGACAGAUGCCUGAAACUAUUUUAGCUCUAUUCUUUGCCCUUGCUGAUAACAGCUGUUUCUCUAACCUACCUGUGCUAUGCUGCAUGUGUUGGAGAAUCCUUUCUGACCUGGCCCAGACUUCCUCAGUGGUACCUCCUCUAGGCACUUCUAGCCGCCCCCCAAUGAGAACAAUAACAACAGUGACAAGAUGUUUUCUUAAACAGAGAACCAGAAAAACAUGGUUUGAAUUGAACACCAUUCAACUCAAAUUUAAUUUCAGUUGAACUAAGUGGGUGGGUUAUAUUUCUUUUCUAUCUGAGCAUCAUCCUGGCUUCUACUUUGAUCAUCAAGUUAUAAGAUCAUAAAGGCAGAGUUCUGAAAAACCUGAACACCAUGACCUUGAAAGAUCCUCUACUCAGAUAAAUCCAGUUUAGAAUCUUCUGUGGCCUCUUGGGCCUUGAACUCAUAAGUCUUUGCAAAGAAUCAAGUGUCAUUUGGGAUAAACAUAUGGAAAUCGUAAUAUCGAAAGUGACAUUGAGCCAGGCAUGGUGGGGCUCACCAGUAAUUCUAGUGACUUGGGGAGGCGAAGGCAGGAGGACUACAAGUUCAAAGCCAGCUUCAAUAAUCUAGUGAGGCCCUAAGCGACUCAGCAAGACCUUGUCUCAAAAUAAAAAGGGCUGGAGAUGUGGCUGAGUGGUUAAAUGCCCCUGAUAUCAAAACCACAACAAAAAAGUGACAUUGAAAAACACUAGAAUGUCUUCAUGUGACAGUAAUUUUCCACUAGUAGAACUUACUGGCUGAAUCACCUGGUUUCUUGUAGUACUUCUUUCUUCAUAAGUCAAGUGCUCAAACCCGAAUUAAUGUAAUGUUUUAUGAAAAUUCCAUAUUUGGAGCAGGUUGGGUUUUUUUGGAAAGCAGACUCAGGGUGGAGCAAAGGAAGAAGAUGAACUGUAGUGAAAUGCUAAUGACAACAUCUAGCUGAUCCUGCUGGGGUUCAGGAGAUGGGGGGGGCUCUUUGGUUGUCCUGAAUUGGGGUGGGGGAGCCAGGCUGUUUCCUCCCACCAUUAGCCAAUCACUGGAUUCAAUCUGCCUGUGGUAGGGAACACAACUAGGGUAGGGAGAAGGUGGCUAUCUUUUGAAGGCAGAUCUCCAAGCGUUUGCCAGCUGAGGGAUGUCAAACAACAACUCUCCAAAUCUGGGGACAAUCAAUACUUCAGCACCUGAGAGGGCACUGGGGUGGUGUGACAAAAUUUUGCCAAUGCAAAAAUAUUUAUAGGAAAAAAAUUUAUGAUCUAUGGUAGAUCAAGAGCUUUGAAAGUCCUGAGUGUGCUCGGACAGGGAGAGUCUGGGCUAUAUGAGAUCCAUCAGUGGGUACAUGGCUGCUCACCAGGCAGGAAGGCUGUUUCCCUGUGUGGAUUUCUAUGGUUUGCACAAUUGUAGUUUUGGACUCUCAGUGCCUUGUGGACUACUGGGCACUCAGUAGUACUGAUUGGCCAACCCUGGAUAUACAGGCAAAUUACUGUAUUAGAGCCUUGUUAUAAUAUGAGCUACUCUUAGGCAAAAUUUAAUAAGAUGGGUUUAAAAUAAAGGUUCUUCUCUCUUU